rnacentral:rRNA from 1 species
AGCGAACGCUGGCGGCAGGCCUAACACAUGCAAGUCGAACGAACCUUUCGGGGUUAGUGGCGGACGGGUGAGUAACACGUGGGAACGUGCCUUUAGGUUCGGAAUAACUCAGGGAAACUUGUGCUAAUACCGAAUGUGCCCUUCGGGGGAAAGAUUUAUCGCCGUUAGGGCGGCCCUCGUCUGAUUAGCUAGUUGGUUGAGGUAAUGGCUCACCAAGGCGACGUUCAGUAGCUGGUCUGAGAGGAUGGUCAGCCACAUUGGGACUGUGACACGGCCCAAACUCCUACGGGAGGCAGCAGUGGGGAAUCUUGCGCAAUGGGCGAAAGCCUGACGCAGCCAUGCCGCGUGAAUGAUGAAGGUCUUAGGAUAGUAAAAUUCUUUCAACGGGGACGAUAAUGACGGUACCCGGAGAAGAAGCCCCGGCUAACUUCGUG